CCUACGGGAGGCAGCAGUGGGGGAUAUUGCACAAUGGGGGAAACCCUGAUGCAGCGACGCCGCGUGAGUGAAGUAGUAUUUCGGUAUGUAAAGCUCUAUCAGCAGGGAAGAAAAUGACAGUACCUGACCAAGAAGCCACGGCUAACUACGUGCCAGCAGCCGUGGUAAUACGUAGGGGGCAAGCGUUAUCCGGAUUUACUGGGUGUAAAGGGAGCGUAGACGGUUAUGUAAGUCUGGAGUGAAAGCCCGGGGCCCAACCCCGGGAGUGCUUUGGAAACUGGGUAACUUGAGUACAGGAAGGGCAGGCGGAAUUCCUGGUGUAGCGGUGAAAUGCGUAGAUAUCAGGAGGAACACCGGCGGCGAAGGCGGCCUGCUGGACUGAAACUGACGUUGAAGCUCGAAAGCGUGGGGAGCGAACAGGAUUAGAUACCCCUGUAGUC
rnacentral:rRNA from 1 species